rnacentral:rRNA from 1 species
CGUAGGUGGCAAGCGUUGUCCGGAAUUAUUGGGCGUAAAGGGCGCGUAGGCGGUACCCUAAGUCAGAUGUGAAAACCCGAGGCUUAACCUCGGAGGUGCAUUUGAAACUGGGGAACUAGAGUGCAGGAGAGGUAAGUGGAAUUCCUAGUGUAGCGGUGAAAUGCGUAGAUAUUAGGAGGAACACCAGUGGCGAAGGCGACUUACUGGACUGUAACUGACGCUGAGGCGCGAAAGCGUGGGGAGCAAACAGGAUUAGAUACCCUGGUAGUCCACGCUGUAAACGAUGGAUACUAGGUGUGGGAGGUAUCGACCCCUUCCGUGCCGCAGUAAACGCAAUAAGUAUCCCGCCUGGGGAGUACGGCCGCAAGGUUG